AACGCACAUUGCGCCCGCCAGUAUUCUGGCGGGCAUGCCUGUCUGAGCGUCAUUUCAACCCUCACGCCCCUAGGGCGUGGUGUUGGGGAUCGGCCAGCGCCCGCGAGGGCGAGGCCGUCCCCCAAAUCUAGUGGCGGACCCGUCGUGGCCUCCCCUGCGAAGUAGUGAUAUUCCGCAUAGGAGAGCGACGAGCCCCUGCCGUUAAACCCCCAACUUUCUCAGGUUGACCUCAGAUCAGGUAGGAAUACCCGCUGAACUUAA
rnacentral:misc_RNA from 1 species